CCACUUUCCCCAACCCUAAUAUUUUGAAUCCUAAUUCUCGCUGUCGCCUCUCUCCUUUCGCUUCUCAUUCUCACUUCUGGAUCUCUUAUUCUUGAAGAGAAAAUCUGAGAUUGAUGCAUAUAUUAUUGUUGUUUAUCCACUCCAAACAUGUCAACUCCAAACACAUUGUGAGCGCAAGAAUGAAGCACAACUCCAGUGGAGGAGUUCAAGAAGUACAAAUGAUAUCAAUGAAACUUCUCAAAGCAAGGAUGUGGCUGAUAAUAAUGAAGAUGAGGAAAACAAUCCAUAUUGUCGGAAGAAAAGGAAACACACAUCUCCAACAUGAGCUGAUUUUAAACGGAUUACUCUUCCAGUCUUCCUGAUGGGAAGAUGAAGGCCGAAUGUAUUCAUUAAUAUGAAUUAUUCAACUUAUUGAUGAAGAGUACUUCUCCACAUUUGCAAAAGAUCAAUCGUGUCAUUGCAGAGGAAGAUUGUAUUACUUCUUAUGAAAUAGAGAAGAAAAAAUUAGUGGCAGCAUUAAAGAAUGUAAA